ACUCCUACGGGAGGCAGCAGUGGGGAAUAUUGCACAAUGGGCGCAAGCCUGAUGCAGCAACGCCGCGUGAGCGAUGAAGGCCUUCGGUCGUAAAGCUCUGUCUCAAGGAAGAAUAAAUGACGGUACUUGAGGAGGAAGCCCGGCUAACUACGUGCCAGCAGCCGCGGUAAUACGUAGGGGCAAGCGUUAUCCGGAAUCACUGGGCGUAAAGGGUGCGUAGGCGGUUUUUCAAGUUCAGAAGUGAAAAGGCUAUGGCUCAACCAUAGUAAGCUUUUGAAACUGUUAAACUUGAGUGCAGGAGAGGAAAGUGGAAUUCCUAGUGUAGAGGUGAAAUUCGUAGAUAUUAGGAGGAACACCAGUGGCGAAGGCGAC
rnacentral:rRNA from 1 species